rnacentral:rRNA from 1 species
AGAGACAGCAGCCGCCACGGGAAUACGUAGGUGGCAAGCGUAGUCCGGAAUUAUUGGGCGUAAAGGGCUCGCAGGCGGUUUCUUAAGUCUGAUGUGAAAGCCCCCGGCUCAACCGGGGAGGGUCAUUGGAAACUGGGAAACUUGAGUGCAGAAGAGGAGAGUGGAAUUCCACGUGUAGCGGUGAAAUGCGUAGAGAUGUGGAGGAACACCAGUGGCGAAGGCGACUCUCUGGUCUGUAACUGACGCUGAGGAGCGAAAGCGUGGGGAGCGAACAGGAUUAGAUACCCCUGUAGUACCUGUCUCUUAUAC